rnacentral:rRNA from 1 species
UACGUAGGGUGCGAGCGUUGUCCGGAAUUAUUGGGCGUAAAGCGCUCGUAGGCGGCCUGUCGCGUCGGAUGUGAAAGCCCGGGGCUCAACCCCGGGUCUGCAUUCGAUACGGGCAGGCUAGAGUGUGGUAGGGGAGAUCGGAAUUCCUGGUGUAGCGGUGAAAUGCGCAGAUAUCAGGAGGAACACCGGUGGCGAAGGCGGAUCUCUGGGCCAGUACUGACGCUGAGGAGCGAAAGCGUGGGGAGCGAACAGG